rnacentral:tRNA from 1 species
UUCUUUAGUUUAUAUAAAAUAUCUACUUUGGAUGUAGAAGAUAUUCUAAUUUAUUCUAUUAAAA